GAACAAUGGAUUGAAUCUAAGGAGGAUGAGGACUGUAAGAGCUGGAAGAAAUAAGUAAAAGUUCAAGUAAAUGUGUCGUAGCAAUCUGAGGAAUCAAACUGCAGUGACUCCAAACUCAGAUCAGCUGUGGUGGCUUCUGGCUGUUUUCAUCAUCAUGUUUCUGGCAUUUCUCUGUUUCUUGCUGCGUAAAAGGAUCUCCAGGACACUGAUGAAGGUCAGAUCUGAUGAUCCUCAUGCAGUGCAGGAAUCUGAGCAGUUAAAAGCUCCUGAGAUUGAGGUUUGAAUCAACAUCACGGAUCAUUCUUCAUAUCUGCUCAAACCUUCACCGUCUCUGAUCCGCCAACAUCCACACCAUCUGCUGAAGACAUCUGAACCAAUCCACAACGUUAAAAACCAAGGCACUUACCACAAACAAUUAUUCUUUUCUGUGUUUUAUUUCUACUCUGACUUGUUUCCUGAUCUAGCUUUGAAAUAACCUGUCAAUUUGGAUAAAAGUAUCUGUAAAUGAGUAAAUGUAAAUGAAAAUGGUUCAUUUUUAAUGUUGUUUAUUCACUAAUUUCUUGU